GACGGAGGGUGCUAGCGUUGUUCGGAAUUACUGGGCGUAAAGGGCGCGUAGGCGGCUCUUUCAGUCGGAUGUGAAAGCCCGGGGCUCAACCCCGGAACGGCAUCCGAGACGGGAGGGCUCGAGACCGGGAGAGGAGGGUGGAAUAGCCAGUGUAGAGGUGAAAUUCGUAGAUAUUGGCUGGAACACCGGUGGCGAAGGCGGCCUUCUGGACAGCAACUGACGCUGAGACGCGAAAGCGUGGGGAGCAAACAGG
rnacentral:rRNA from 1 species